AACGAACGCUGGCGGCAGGCUUAACACAUGCAAGUCGAGCGCCCCGCAAGGGGAGCGGCAGACGGGUGAGUAACGCGUGGGAAUCUACCCAUCUCUACGGAAUAACGCAUGGAAUCGUGUGCUAAUACCGUAUACGUCCUUCGGGAGAAAGAUUUAUCGGAGAUGGAUGAGCCCGCGUUGGAUUAGCUAGUUGGUGGGGUAAAGGCCUACCAAGGCGACGAUCCGUAGCUGGUCUGAGAGGAUGAUCAGCCACACUGGGACUGAGACACGGCCCAGACUCCUACGGGAGGCAGCAGUGGGGAAUAUUGGACAAUGGGCGCAAGCCUGAUCCAGCCAUGCCGCGUGAGUGAUGAAGGCCCUAGGGUUGUAAAGCUCUUUCACCGGUGAAGAUAAUGACGGUAACCGGAGAAGAAGCCCCGGCUAACUUCGUGCCAGCAGCCGCCGUAACAC
rnacentral:rRNA from 1 species